UCACUUAUAGAUGGGCCCGCGGCGCAUUAGCUAGUUGGUGAGGUAAUGGCUCACCAAGGCGACGAUGCGUAGCCGACCUGAGAGGGUGAUCGGCCACACUGGGACUGAGACACGGCCCAG
rnacentral:rRNA from 1 species